UACGUAGGGGGCAAGCGUUGUCCGGAAUCAUUGGGCGUAAAGAGCGUGUAGGCGGCCCGGUAAGUCCGCUGUGAAAGUCCAGGGCUCAACCCUGGGAUGCCGGUGGAUACUGUCGGGCUCGAGUCCGGAAGAGGAGUGUGGAAUUCCUGGUGUAGCGGUGAAAUGCGCAGAUAUCGAGGAGGAACACCAAUGGCGAAGGCAGCACUCUGGGACGUGACUGACGCUGAGACGCGAAAGCGUGGGGAGCGAACAGG
rnacentral:rRNA from 1 species